UACAUAUAUAUAUAUAUAUAUAUAUAUACAUAUAUAUAUAUAUAUAUAUAUAUAUAUAUAUAUAUCAACACACAAUUGCUGGGUGCAUGUUCAUGUGCUUUUAUACCAACAUGUGAGAGCAAAAAUGUUCAGGGUUUUCUCAUGUAUUUAUAUUGACAUUUAAUGGAUUGAGGUAAAUUAUUCAAUUUUCAGACUUAUGAUCACUGAAUGCUGAUGUGGAAUAUUCUUAUUUCAUGCUGGUGUUACUUGUUAUCCAGUGAACCCAAGCUAAAGCUUACUUCAUUUAACCGGCAUGCUCACCGUUCAAGAAAAUAUGCACUUUAUAAUCCCACAAUACACACUGUCCCCACUGCCUGAGCCAACAUCACACUGUACUAUGAAUACUUUUUUUUUUUUUUUCAAAUCUUGUCCACAUCUCUGCCUCGUUGUGUUAAGCUCUCCACUGUCUGCACCUCACUCUUGUUUACAACAAGCACGAUGAGUGGAAAAAAUAAAUGAUUAUACUCAAA